GUUCGUGUGAUGACAUGUCUGGUUAAUUCCGAUAACGAGCGAGACUUGAACCUAACCUAACUAUGUUUGCGUAAUUUUAUUUAGUUAUUUAUAAUUGGAUAUACUUGCGUAGGACUUCUUAGAGGGACAAUUUGUGAAAAACAAAUGGAAGUUUCAAGCAAAAACAGGUCU
rnacentral:rRNA from 1 species